UACGUAGGGUGCGAGCGUUGUCCGGAAUUAUUGGGCGUAAAGAGCUUGUAGGCGGUUUGUCGCGUCUGCUGUGAAAAUCCGGGGCUCAACCCCGGACUUGCAGUGGGUACGGGCAGACUAGAGUGUGGUAGGGGAGACUGGUAUUCCUGGUGUAGCGGUGAAAUGCGCAGAUAUCAGGAGGAACACCGAUGGCGAAGGCAGGUCUCUGGGCCACUACUGACGCUGAGAAGCGAAAGCAUGGGGAGCGAACAGG
rnacentral:rRNA from 1 species